rnacentral:rRNA from 1 species
UGGGGAAUUUUGGACAAUGGGCGCAAGCCUGAUCCAGCAAUGCCGCGUGCAGGAUGAAGGCCUUCGGGUUGUAAACUGCUUUUGUACGGAGCGAAAAGGUCUGCCCUAAUACGGUGGGCUCAUGGCGGUACCGUAAGAAUAAGCACCGGCUAACUACGUGCCAGCAGCCGCGGUAAUACGUAGGGUGCAAGCGUUAAUCGGAAUUACUGGGCGUAAAGCGUGCGCAGGCGGUUAUGCAAGACAGAGGUGAAAUCCCCGGGCUCAACCUGGGACCUGCAUUUGUGACCGUAUAGCUAGAGUACGGUAGAGGGGGAUGGAAUUCCGCGUGUAGCAGUGAAAUGCGUAGAUAUGCGGAGGAACACCGAUGGCGAAGGCAAUCCCCUGGACCUGUACUGACGCUCAUGCACGAAAGCGUGGGGAGCAAACA